UACGUAGGGUGCGCGCGUUGUCCGGAAUUAUUGGGCGUAAAGAGCUUGUAGGCGGUUUGUCGCGUCUGCCGUGAAAUUUCGGGGCUCAACCCCGAACUUGCGGUGGGUACGGGCAGACUAGAGUGUGGUAGGGGAGACUGGAAUUCCUGGUGUAGCGGUGGAAUGCGCAGAUAUCAGGAGGAACACCGGUGGCGAAGGCGGGUCUCUGGGCAGUAACUGACGCUGAGGAGCGAAAGCGUGGGGAGCGAACAGG
rnacentral:rRNA from 1 species